GAAACCAACUGGGAUUGCCUUAGUAACGGCGAGUGAAGCGGCAAAAGCUCAAAUUUGAAAUCUGGUACCUUUGGUGCCCGAGUUGUAAUUUGGAGAGUACCACUUUGGGACUGUACUUUGCCUAUGUUCCUUGGAACAGGACGUCAUGGAGGGUGAGAAUCCCGUGUGGCGAGGGUGUCAGUUCUUUGUAAAGGGUGCUCGAAGAGUCGAGUUGUUUGGGAAUGCAGCUCUAAGUGGGUGGUAAAUUCCAUCUAAAGCUAAAUACAGGCGAGAGACCGAUAGCGAACAAGUACAGUGAUGGAAAGAUGAAAAGAACUUUGAAAAGAGAGUGAAAAAGUACGUGAAAUUGUUGAAAGGGAAGGGCAUUUGAUCAGACAUGGUGUUUUGCGCCCCUUGCCUCUCGUGGGCUUGGGACUCUCGCAGCUCACUGGGCCAGCAUCGGUUUUGGCGGCCGGAAAAAACCUAGGGAAUGUGGCUCUGCGCCUCGGUGUAGAGUGUUAUAGCCCUGG
rnacentral:rRNA from 1 species